UACCCUUCCUUCCUCUUCACAUCAAUCCCUUAAGCUGCAGUUAGACUCCAUGCUUAAAAGAUAAGGCCAAGGGACAAGAUGGUCCCACAGGGGAAGCUGUGCUGACUCAGCCACCAUCUUGGACCUUUGGAGUGGCUUACUUUGGACUACUACACCACAUUACCAUGGACGGAGUGACUUCUCACAGCUCUGAAGGCUGAUUAUAAGGUCACUGAGAGUUCCAACACUGAAUAAAUAUUUGCUGAGUGCUUAUUAUGCCA
rnacentral:lncRNA from 1 species